rnacentral:rRNA from 1 species
GGAUAAGGAAAGUAAAAAAGGGCGCAUGGCGGAUGCCUUGGCUCUCGGAGGCGAUGAAGGACGUGAUAAGCUGCGAUAAGCUUUGGGGAGGUGCAAAUGACCUUUGAUCCAGAGAUUUCCGAAUGGGACAACCCAAUAUCUUGAAGAGGUAUUAUCUUACUAUGUAAGAGGCUAACGCAGGGAACUGAAACAUCUUAGUACCUGCAGGAAAAGAAAAUAAACAAUGAUUCCCCCAGUAGUGGCGAGCGAACGGGGAACAGCCCAAACCAUCCAUGUUACGGCAUGGGUGGGGUUGUAGGACUACGCCGUUGCAUGAAGACAUCAGAGAAGAACUUUCUGGAAAGAAAGACCAUAGAGCAUGACAGUUGCGUAUUCGAAUGUUGUCGAAGCAUAGUAGUAUCCUGAGUAGCGCGGAGCACGAGGAAUUCUGCGUGAAUCUGCCGGGACCAUCCGGUAAGGCUAAAUACUCCCGAGAGACCGAUAGCGAACCAGUACCGUGAGGGAAAGGUGAAAAGCACUUCGAACAGAAGAGUGAAAUAGUUCCUGAAACCGUGCGCCUACAAGCGGUCGGAGCUCGUUAAUGAGUGACGGCGUGCCUUUUGCAUAAUGAACCUACGAGUUGCCUUUGCCGGCAAGGUUAAGUGUGACGACACACGUAUCCGAAGCGAAAGCGAGUCUGAACAGGGCGUAUAGUCGGCAGUGGCAGACGCGAAACCAAGUGAUCUACCCUUGGCCAGGUUGAAGGCUGGGUAACACCAGCUGGAGGACCGCACCAAUAAGCGUUGAAAAGCUUCUGGAUGAGCUGAGGGUAGGGGUGAAAGGCUAAUCAAACUUGGAGAUAGCUCGUACUCCCCGAAAUGCAUUUAGGUGCAGCCUUGCGGGUUACUGAUGUGAGGUAGAGCGACUGAUAAGAUGCGAGGGCUUCACCGCCUAUCAAGUCUUGACAAACUCCGAAUGCGCAUCAGUUCUACCGCAGGAGUGAGGGCAUGGGUGCUAAGGUCCGUGCCCGAGAGGAGAAGAAUCCGGACCACCUGCUAAGGUCCCGAAAUGACAGCUAAGUUAAACUAACGAAGUCUGACUGCUAAGACAGCUAGGAUGUUGGCUUGGAAGCAGCCAUUCAUUUAAAGAGUGCGUAACAGCUCACUAGUCGAGGAGU